rnacentral:rRNA from 1 species
GAUGAACGCUGGCGGCGUGCCUAAUACAUGCAAGUCGAGCGAACGGACGAGAAGCUUGCUUCUCUGAUGUUAGCGGCGGACGGGUGAGUAACACGUGGAUAACCUACCUAUAAGACUGGGAUAACUUCGGGAAACCGGAGCUAAUACCGGAUAAUAUUUUGAACCGCAUGGUUCAAAAGUGAAAGACGGUCUUGCUGUCACUUAUAGAUGGAUCCGCGCUGCAUUAGCUAGUUGGUAAGGUAACGGCUUACCAAGGCAACGAUGCAUAGCCGACCUGAGAGGGUGAUCGGCCACACUGGAACUGAGACACGGUCCAGACUCCUACGGGAGGCAGCAGUAGGGAAUCUUCCGCAAUGGGCGAAAGCCUGACGGAGCAACGCCGCGUGAGUGAUGAAGGUCGUCGGAUCGUAAAACUCUGUUAUUAGGGAAGAACAUAUGUGUAAGUAACUGUGCACAUCUUGACGGUACCUAAUCAGAAAGCCACGGCUAACUACG